UUCUUGCUCUUUUGGCAAGAUGGCGGGAGGAGAUGCUAGAGUGACUUUGGGGCAGCCGCAUCUUUCGCGCCAGGAUCUCACCACCUUGGAUGUUACCAAGUUGACGCCACUUUCACACGAAGUUAUCAGCAGACAAGCCACAAUUAACAUAGGUACAAUUGGUCAUGUAGUUCAUGGGAAAUCCACAGUUGUCAAAGCUAUUUCUGGAGUUCACAUGGUCAGGUUCAAAAAUGAACUAGUAAGAAAUAUUACAAUCAAGCUUGGAUAUGCUCAUGCUAAGAUUUAUAAACUUGAUGACCCAAGUUGCCCUCGGCCAGAAUGUUAUAGAUCUUGUGGGAGCAGUACACCUGAUGAGUUUCCUACAGAUAUUCCAGGGACCAAAGGGAACUUCAAAUUAGUCAGACAUGUUUCCUUUGUUGACUGUCCAGGCCAUGAUAUUUUGAUGGCUACUAUGCUGAAUGGUGCAGCGGUGAUGGAUGCAGCUCUUCUGUUGAUAGCUGGUAAUGAAUCUUGCCCUCAGCCUCAGACAUCUAAACACCUAGCUGCUAUAGAAAUCAUGAAACUGAAACAUAUUUUGAUUCUACAAAAUAAAAUUGAUUUGGUAAAAGAAAGUCGGGCUAAAGAACAAUACGAGCAGAUUCUUGCUUUUGUCCAAGGUACAGUAGCAGAGGGAGCUCCCAUUAUUCCAAUUUUGGCUCAGCUGAAAUACAAUAUUGAAGUUGUUUGUGAGUACAUAGUAAAGAAAAUUCCAGUACCCCCAAGAGACUUUACUUCAGAGCCCCGCCUUAUUGUUAUUAGAUCUUUUGAUGUCAACAAACCUGGCUGUGAAGUUGACCUUAAGGGGGGUGUAGCUGGUGGUAGUAUCCUAAAAGGAGUAUUAAAGGUGGGCCAGGAGAUAGAAGUAAGACCUGGUAUUGUUUCCAAGGAUAGUGAAGGAAAACUCAUGUGUAAACCAAUCUUUUCCAAAAUUGUAUCACUUUUUGCGGAGCAUAAUGAUCUGCAAUAUGCUGCUCCAGGCAGUCUCAUUGGAGUUGGAACAAAAACUGACCCCACUUUGUGCCGGGCUGACAGAAUGGUGGGGCAGGUACUUGGUGUAGUCGGAACCUUACCUGAGAUAUUCACAGAAUUGGAAACUUCCUAUUUCCUGCUUAGACGGCUUCUAGGUGUACGCACUGAAGGAGACAAGAAAGCAGCAAAGGUACAAGAGCUGUCUAAGAAUGAAGUACUCAUGGUGAACAUAGGGUCCCUCUCUACAGGAGGGAGAGUCAGUGCUGUCAAGGCCGAUUUGGGUAAAAUUGUUUUGACCAAUCCAGUGUGCACAGAGGUAGGAGAAAAAAUUGCCCUUAGCCGAAGGGUUGAAAAACACUGGCGUUUAAUUGAUUGGGAUCAGAUAAGAAGAGGAGUGACAAUCAAGCCAACAGUGGAUGACUGAUGAACACCAGUUAAAUAAUACAUUUGGAUGGAGGUGGAAGAUGGAAUUUCUCUUAACAACCAAGGAAUUUACUUUCAAAGCAAUAUUGGGGAAUUUAUUUACAGUUUGUUACCUUAGUAGAUAGCUAUAAGAUUAUUCUCAUGUUUUUAGUUAUGAAGACUUAACUUAGGUACUGAAAUUAAUAUAAAAGUUGGCGUACUGUUGGAUUGAAUCUAUAUUUUGACAGAAGCAUUGCCAUAUAAUGUCACAAUUAUAUAUCAUGCAGUUUUGUUCUGCAUGUCUUGUUUUGUUUUGUUUUUGAGUCUGGCUUUGCCACCCAGGAUGGAGGGCGGUGGCCUGAUCUGCAACCUCUGCCUUCUGGGUUCAAGCAGUUCUCCUGCUUCAGCCUUCGAAGUAGCUGAGAUUACAGGUGUGUGCCACCACACCUGGUUAAUUUUUGUAUUUUUAGGAGAGACAGGGUUUUGACAUGUUGGCCAGGCUGGUCUCUCCUGACCUCAGGGUGAUCACCCCACCUCAACCUCCCAAAGUGCUGGGAUUACAGGCGUAAGCCACCUUGCCCCGCCCAUAUCAUACAGUAUGAAAUGAAUUUUUGCUACAACCAGCCUUUGCUGUAGCACACACACACACACACACACAUAUAUAUACACCACUGAAACUCAUUUUCAUGAUUCCUCUUUGAAUAGCUCCAAGCUGAUGGACUGUUGUACCAAUGAAAACUUAAAGAGACAGAUUCUCCUUGAAGACCUUCUCCCUUUUCUUUGGCCCCAUAUUUUAUAUUGCUUUAUCUUUGAAAUUUUGCAUGAAAAGGAAAUUAAUGGGUUCAAAUGAAAUUGUUCUUUAGAGAUUUUAGAAAUUGUUACUAUGGACAAAUCUUUUUCUUCCCUUGCUCUUCCUGGCCUGAAACACAGGAAACCAGAGUCAGAAGUUAUGUUUCUUUCCCUGUGAUGGCUUGAAAUUUUUUCAGCGUUGUUUUAUACCUGAAAUCCAAUAGUCUUCCUCUGUUGGAAAAUACUGUUAUACCAAAUAAUUCUAGAUGAGUAACAAAGAUCUUUCUAGGCCUUCAUUUUAUGUUUUUUCUUAACUGUUAUAUCAUGAUCAUAACACACAUUGUAAUACUACUAAUUUUUGAACAUUCCAAAAGGCCAAGAAGUAAAAGAUGUUAGAAAGCAAUAACUGAGUCAAGAUGCCCCACAGAGAUUCUGGUUUAAUUGUGAUUUAAUUGGCUUGGAGUAGAAUUCAGGCAUUUAACAACUCUCCUCAGUGUGGAGAAAUUUAGAGAGUUGAGAAGUAGGUAUAUUAAAUUAUAGAAUCUCUCUGAGUUUUGAUAGUCUGAUAAUACAGUUUGCUUUGCUUUUCUUAAAUUUGCAUUGAGAUGGGAUUUGAAACAUUGUGCUCUUUUGAGUGUUGAAGUUGCAUUGUAGAAGUUGAGAACCUCUGGCUAUGGGUUAUCUAAGUUGAUGUUGUGAGGACGCAUAUUAAUGUUAUAUACUUGGCUGACUUUGAAGGUUGUGUUGUAGCAUGAGGAACACAAACAAUUCUACAUCA